rnacentral:rRNA from 1 species
GUUGACCUCGGAUCAGGUAGGGAUACCCGCUGAACUUAAGCAUAUCAAUAAGCGGAGGAAAAGAAACCAACCGGGAUUGCCUCAGUAACGGCGAGUGAAGCGGCAAGAGCUCAAAUUUGAAAGCUGGCUCCUUCGGGGUCCGCAUUGUAAUUUGCAGAGGAUGCUUCGGGUGCGGCCCCUGUCUAAGUGCCCUGGAACGGGCCGUCAGAGAGGGUGAGAAUCCCGUCUGGGAUGGGGUGUCCGCGCCCGUGUGAAGCUCCUUCGACGAGUCGAGUUGUUUGGGAAUGCAGCUCUAAAUGGGUGGUAAAUUUCAUCUAAAGCUAAAUACUGGCCGGAGACCGAUAGCGCACAAGUAGAGUGAUCGAAAGAUGAAAAGCACUUUGAAAAGAGAGUUAAAAAGCACGUGAAAUUGUUGAAAGGGAAACGCUUGCGACCAGACUCGCCUCCNGGGUUCAGCCGGCAUUCCGGGCCGGUGUACUUCCCU